rnacentral:tRNA from 1 species
GCCACGGUGGUCUAGCGGUUAGAACGCUGGCGUUGUAAUCCUGGGGUCUCGGGUUCGAUUCCCGGCUGUGCCC